CUUACUCGACGUAAGAAUUAUCUGUCGUCCAAGGAAACGGUAAGUUAGCCACCUGGGAGUACGCUCGCAAGAUGAAACUCAAAGGAAUUGAGGGGGUCCGCACAAGCGGUGGAAGCAUGUGGUUUAAUUCGCAUAUACGCGAGGAACCUUACCUGGGCUCUAAUGAGACUGCUAUUCCGGGAAACCGGAAGUUCCUUCGGGACAGGAAGCAAGGUGCUGCAUGGUUGUCGUCAGCUCGUGCCGUGAGGUGUUGGGUUAAGUCCCGCAACGAGCGCAACCCCCAUCGUUAGUUGCCAGCAAGUUAUGUUGGGGACUCUAGCGAGACUGCCGGCGCAAGCCGCGAGGAAGGUGGGGAUGACGUCAAAUCAUCAUGGCCUUUAUGCCCAGGGCGACACACGUGCUACAAUGGUCGGCACAGAGGGUAGCCAACCCGUAAGGCGGAGCCAAUCUCACAAAGCCGAUCCCAGUUCGGAUUGAAGUUUGGAACUCGACUUCAUCAAGUUGGAAUCGCUAGUAAUCGCGCAUCAUUCCAUGGCAGCUGGACUAAACUGUUGCCCUGACCCCUUGUACACGUCCGCCCGCCAAGGCUCUAUGCGCUAGUCUGCGGAGCGUUGCACUGUAAUAUGGUGUACUCUUGUUGAUAGACCUCUACUCACGAGUACAUACUUCCGUCACAUCCGCGUCAGUUGGCACUACAGUCCACUCCUAUCCCGCGGCCUAUGGCGAGCCGGGCAGCUAGCAAAACUGCGGGGCCCCAUAUCG
rnacentral:rRNA from 1 species